AGGACGAACGCUGGCGGCGUGCUUAACACAUGCAAGUCGAGCGGAAAGGCCCUUCGGGGUACUCGAGCGGCGAACGGGUGAGUAACACGUGAGCAACCUGCCCUUAGCUUCGGGAUAGCUCCGGGAAACCGGAAUUAAUACCGAAUAUGACUUUGGCUGACAUCAGCAGAAGUGGAAAGUUUUUCGGCUAGGGAUGGACUCGCGGCCUAUCAGCUAGUUGGUGAGGUAACGGCCCACCAAGGCGACGACGGAUAGCUGGUCUGAGAGGACGAUCAGCCACACUGGGACUGAGACACGGCCCAGACUCCUACGGGAGGCAGCAGUGGGGAAUUUUGCGCAAUGGGGGAAACCCUGACGCAGCAACGCCGCGUGGAGGAUGAAGCCCCUUGGGGUGUAAACUCCUUUCGAUCGGGAAGAUAAUGACGGUACCGAUAUAAGAAGCCCCGGCUAACUUCGUGCCAGCAGCCGC
rnacentral:rRNA from 1 species